UGGGUAACCUGCCCAAGAGAUCGGGAUAACACCUGGAAACAGAUGCUAAUACCGGAUAAUAACAGAUGAUGCCUAUCAACGUUUAAAAGAUGGUUCUGCUAUCACUCUUGGAUGGACCUGCGGUGCAUUAGCUAGUUGGUAGGGUAACGGCCUACCAAGGCGAUGAUGCAUAGCCGAGUUGAGAGACUGAUCGGCCACAUUGGGACUGAGACACGGCCCAAACUCCUACGGGAGGCAGCAGCC
rnacentral:rRNA from 1 species